ensembl:snRNA U6 U6 spliceosomal RNA
GUGCUUUCAGCAGCACAUAUAGUAAAAUGGGAACCAUACCGAGUAAUGGCCCCUGAGCAAGGUGAUAUGCAAAUUCCUAAAGCUUUUUACACCAUUUUU